rnacentral:rRNA from 1 species
GAUGAACGCUGGCGGCGUGCCUAAUACAUGCAAGUCGAGCGAACGGACGAGAAGCUUGCUUCUCUGAUGUUAGCGGCGGACGGGUGAGUAACACGUGGAUAACCUACCUAUAAGACUGGGAUAACUUCGGGAAACCGGAGCUAAUACCGGAUAAUAUUUUGAACCGCAUGGUUCAAAAGUGAAAGACGGUCUUGCUGUCACUUAUAGAUGGGUCCGCGCUGCAUUAGCUAGUUGGUAAGGUAACGGCUUACCAAGGCAACGAUGCAUAGCCGACCUGAGAGGGUGAUCGGCCACACUGGAACUGAGACACGGUCCAGACUCCUACGGGAGGCAGCAGUAGGGAAUCUUCCGCAAUGGGCGAAAGCCUGACGGAGCAACGCCGCGUGAGUGAUGAAGGUCUUCGGAUCGUAAAACUCUGUUAUUAGGGAAGAACAUACGUGUAAGUAACUGUGCACAUCUUGACGGUACCUAAUCAGAAAGCCACGGCUAACUACGUG